rnacentral:rRNA from 1 species
UACGGAGGGUGCGAGCGUUAAUCGGAAUUACUGGGCGUAAAGCGUACGCAGGCGGUUUGUUAAGCGAGAUGUGAAAUCCUAGGGCUCAACCUUAGAAUUGCAUUUCGAACUGGCAAACUAGAGUUCUUGAGAGGGUGGUAGAAUUUCCAGUGUAGCGGUGGAAUGCGUAGAUAUUGGAAGGAAUACCGGUGGCGAAGGCGGCCACCUGGCAAGAAACUGACGCUCAUGUGCGAAAGCGUGGGGAGCAAACAGG